AGGUGGAGUGGCUUUUUGCUUCAUGAUGAUGUAGGGAGAUUGAGAACCAUCAGAACACCCUUCCUGGUGAGACAGCUGUAGGUGGAAAAAAUGGAAAAAGAGGUCUGAAGCUCUCAGCAUCUACCAAUGAACAAGUAACUGGAUCUGGCCUGGAAGGAAAUGAGAUACAAAUAAAGGUGCCAGCUGGAUGUUUAAUUUAAUGCAACAGAAAUUUGGGGAAGAAGACACUUCAAAUCACUCUUUCCAAAAUGGGGACUUCUGAUUCUUUAGCUAAUGGCCAGGUGAGUGUGACACUUCCCAUCACUGUGUAAGAACAGUACAAAGCCUCCACUUUCUUUUUAAAAGGGUGUUUAAAAAUGCUUGGUAACUGUCUCUGUCAUUACCCAAAAUGUCCAGGUUCACAUGAAAAUCACUCUCAAUAUUCAUGUGUAUUCAGACCUAAGGUUGCAGGUCACGCACCACUGAAAAGAGGGAAGUUCCUACAUAUGCAGAAGAUUCCUCCUUGUUUUGAGAAGGGCCACACAGAAAAAGUGCAGCAUUUUUCCUGCAAGAAACUGCAAGAAUAGUGUGCCUCUCUCUGACAAUGAUUGGAUAUGUCUAUUAUCCACUAGUUUUGAUUUUGACUUGUUUUGAUUGCUGACAGUCCUGCUAUGCAUCUUGCCUUUUCAACAAUCUGCACAGAUCCCAGCUUCAUUCAGAAGUCCAAAGGGCACAAUCCCAUACCUCUCUUGUACUGAGGAGCAUGAUUUUUAACCUGAAAUGUAAUUUUUUUCCUUACAUUAAACAAAUAAAGAAACUAUUGAGGUUGAUCUGGUUGGAAAAGAAGCAACUUUUAGCCUAUGAAGAUAAAGUAAAUGUCUUUCAAAACUCUAAGUGGAACACUAGUUGGACAAUGUAGUUUCAUGUUGAUAAAAUAUUUAUAUUACUAAUGAUGCUUCUUGAUGCCAAAAUUUUCUCUUCCUGUGACUUGAAGCAAACAAAAGAACAAAGAUUGUUUCAGAUUUUUCAGUUACAGUUUUUCAUUCUUCAGAUGAAACCCAGGAAACUCAGUUAACCUUCCCAAACACAAAAGAAAGUCACCGCUGUUCCCCUUGUUAUGCAAUUACCUUUAGAAAUGCAUCAAACUUUUCAAAAUUAUCCCCAUUAAAUUUUUGUCAGUGCUAAUGAUGAAUGAAGUGUGUCAUACAAAAGUGAAAAUGUGUCCCAAAAGAGUACUUUAAUAGUGGAUUCACACAUCUCCCUCCCCCAAAUAUCAGCAGGCUUUUACUGCCUUUCCUUUCUUAUUCUUUCCCUUCUCUCUACUUUCUUUUCUUUUGAUGGAAAAAAAAAGAAGAAAAAAAAAGAAAAAGAAAAAAUGAAAAAAAAGAAAAAAAUAAGAAAAAAAGAAAAAGAAAAGAAAGGAAAAAAAGGGAAAAAAAGCGCCCUUUACCUUUCUGGGCUUACCUCUGAGGGAGUGGUAAAGCAGGAUUAGACUCUAUAGAUUACACACAUUUGAAAUUACAGGAUUUAGUAGUCAUAUUUUUGGUUCAUGGAAGUAAAGGUUUCUAAAUUUUACAAAAUAGCCAUACUGUGACACUCUGUGACUCGAAAUUUCCGUAGCAUAUAUACUUUUAAAGUAGAGACAUCUAAGACAUUCCUUUUACGCUAUUUUGCCCUCCCAUAGCUACAGAAAACAAUUGCUACAAACUUUUAAUUAAUUUCUAUCAUACAUGUCCUGAUAACAUCCACUCAUGGGCCAUUUUUAAUUUUGAAAUAAAAGAAACUAAAUAAAAUAAUUUCCUAAUAGCUGUAAAAGACUCCUGCUAGAAUACAUAAUCUAAUGAACUACUGGCAGCACUGAAAAUUUUACAAAUUGUGAGCAGGUUUUUCUUCCCAAUACAAGCCAGUCACUAAGCUGUAAAAAAUAGUAAAUACAUAAAUCAUAUGCAUAUUUGACACGACACAGAUUUCAAUAGUUUGGGGAGGACAACUGAUGCUGUAUGAAGGAGCACUUCUGAAAAACAGUGACUAGGACAUGUGCUUGUAAUUUGGAUUUUCUAGUGAAGUGUGUCUUUAUAUCCCUUUAAAUCCUCCUAAAAAUUAAGUAUAUUGUUCAUAAUUUUACCUGCAUUACUUUCAAUCUCCAGAUGGAUUUUAUUUGCAUAAGAGCUCCCAGGAGGGCUUUGCUAUAAAGAAGCCUUGCUGAACACAUUACAGAACUAAUCAUUUCUUUAAACAGACAUUUGUGAAUAAAAUAAAAUGUCUAUGCAAUAUGUCAAAUGUGAAAGGUUAGCCACUGUGCACAAUAACAAAAUAAUUUAAUCUUAAAUAAAUUACUUUGCCUUAAUUAAUUAUGAGGUGAACCGAGCCUCAACUCCUAACAUAGUUAAGGUAGAAUAUUCAUGCUUGUGCAAAAAGCAGAUUGUAAAAAAAUAUGAGUCUGAAAAGCACUUUCCCUUCACUAACUAGUGCAACCCUAAAGUUUCUGCAAGCAGGGGAUGCUCUUAGAGCCAACUCUCAAGGCUGCUUUGUAUCACUACAUGACAGGAAAGUGGCUAUAAAAAAUACAGAAUGGACAAUUAUGUGAUUUAUUUGACCUUUAGAUAUGGUUCCCCAUCAGAAAGGAGAGCCUUCAAAGGUAGUAAGGUGACAUAAUCAACAGGAUUAAAUCUCUAACUACUGGUAAGCAUCUAGAGUGAAAUUCAACAACACCUUUGAGACCCCUUGUUUUUCAACAGUAUCUGUAGCAACCAACAUAGGUAUGAGAUUUACA